GAAACCGUUGAAGGGGAAACGAAUGCGACCAGCAAAGCACCCGUUGCAGAUUCAGUCGCGAACGCUCGCGYCGUUCGGCGCGCGGAUCCGAACGGACCGCGCUCGUGUCGGCGACGAGCGUGCGCGCCGCAAUUCUGCCCGGUGCGAGCCAACGUCGGCUCGUCGUCGGCGUCCGGCUAGCGCGUCAGGUGUCUCGCGACUUCGGUCGGGAGCGUUACAGGCACGCGAGCAAGGGCGUCGGGACGGACCGAGGAGACGAAUUGUAUCGGUGGCGGUCCGCGCUUGCCUUUGGGCGGGCUAGGGGCAGUCGUGUCGCGCGUCGAGCGCCGUUCSUCGGACUGCUUGCAGUGCGAGGGAAGGACGUUCGGGCGCGUCGGSUCGUCGUCAUAAGCGGACCGAGGUCGUUGGCGGUGAAAUGGUCUCUUCCAACCCGUCUUG
rnacentral:sRNA from 1 species